AUUGAACGCUGGCGGCAGGCCUAACACAUGCAAGUCGAGCGGAUGAAGGCUGCUUGCUCCUGGAUUCAGCGGCGGACGGGUGAGUAAUGCCUAGGAAUCUCCCUGGUAGUGGGGGAUAACGUCCGGAAACGGGCGCUAAUACCGCAUACGUCCUGCGGGAGCAAGUGGGGGAUCUUCGGACCUCACGCUAUCAGAUGAGCCUAGGUCGGAUUAGCUAGUUGGUGGGGUAAAGGCCUACCAAGGCGACGAUUCGUAACUGGUCUGAGAGGAUGAUCAGUCACCCUGGAACUGAGACACGGUCCAGACUCCUACGGGAGGCAGCAGUGGGGAAUAUUGGACAAUGGGCGAAAGCCUGAUACAGCCAUGCCGCGUGUGUGAAGAAGGUCUUCGGAUUGGAAAGCACUUUAAGUUGGGAGGAAGGGCAGUAAGUUAAUACCUUGCUGUUUUGACGUUACCAACAGAAUAAGCACCGGCUAACUUCGUG
rnacentral:rRNA from 1 species